rnacentral:rRNA from 1 species
GUCUACAGCCAUGCUACCCUGAACAAGCCCGAACUCGUCUGAUCUCAGAAGCUAAGCAGGGUCGGGCCUGGUUAGUACUUGGAUGGGAGACCAUCUAGGAAGACCAAGUGCUGUAGGCG